UCUCGACAACGGAUAUCUCGGCUCUCGCAUCGAUAAAGAGCGUAGCGAAAUGCGCUCCUUGGUGUAAAUUGCUGAAUUCCGUGAACCAUCGAGUCGAUUUGGCCGAGGGCACGUCUGCUUGGGAGUCA
rnacentral:rRNA from 1 species